GCUGAAGACUUCACCUCCUUCCUUUUAUUAAACCAGAGCAAAGAAAACAACAUCAAACUGGACAUUAAGGAUUAAAACGAGAAGAAUUAAUCCGUUAAAGAGGCGAAGAAGACUUUUAUUUACUUCCAGAGGAGGAAAGUGUAAAGAGACGUGAUGCUGAGGCUCAAAUGGUUUGAUCCAUCGACGCGUUUUCCUCCAACAUCAGCAGCUCCCAGGGCAUCCUGCUGCAAGGCAUGCUGGGAAACACAGGAGCAGGCCUGCUGCAAGGCAUGCUGGGAAACACAGGAGCAGGAGGAGGAGGGGGUUUAAUAUUUAAUUAAUAAGGGAUGAAGCCCUUUUACUUAUUGCACAGAUUCAGAUAUUAUUAUAUUUAUCGUUUUUAUUAAAUCCUGAUUCAUUGUUUUCUCUGUAAAACCAUUAAAAACAUUAUCACCAUCUGACACGUAAAUUAUUAAAUAACCAAAAUAUAAAUGUUUUGUUAGUUAAAAAAUGCUGAGAUAAUGUAAAUAUUAAACAAAUAGACGCGUAAAUGGUGAUAAUCACACUGUGACAUUAAUGUCAUUUUAACUGUAAUUAUUUUUCUUUGUGGGUUUUAAAUCAGUGCUUUUUCCACCUCAAACGUAUUAAUUUAUGUCAUUUCCAGUUAGAAUUUAUUAUUUACUGUCUGAAACGACUAAUAAUCAUCUACUUAAUAUUUAAAAUGUCAUAAAUCCUCGUAAACACAGACUCAACGUCGACCAGUUCCCUGUUUGUCAUGUUUUAUUUCUUAUUGUAGCUAAUAAAUGAAUAUUAAUGGG